AUGACCAGGACAACUGCUGACUGGCUAGUUAGACUAGAGCCGUAUGUUAUAGAAUGGGAGACAGCAAACACAAAUCUAUGGCACGAGAAUCACAAUUUCGAUCUCGAUGAAUUCAAUCUCUAUUUGCGGCGCUACAUGACCGGAACACGGUUACGCAUCGUUGAGUACUCCCACCCAGAGGAGAUACCGGAUCCAACUCCGUCGGAUAUGUACCCGAGCUAUGAUACUUCGGGCUCUAGGCAGUAUGCGGCUACCUUGACACGCGAACUCUACGACGACGUGACCACCUUUGGACGAUCACUAUCGUCUGGACCUCUUCUUCAGCAUCGUCUAGUGCUACAGCCCUUCUUGGAAAGAAUUCAGAAUAAGAUACGGACUGUGUACGAGGCUAUCACGUGCACCCGGAGAACCGAUGUUGUUCAGCACCAGCAGGAGCAGCCGCGUCACUCCAUGCACCGACAUCAACUACGUCCACGUCUAGCACAUGAGCCGACAACCAGGCCACCCGUCCUGACCAACCUGGCAGUUCUACGUGGCACCCGCAGCACUAUGGUCCCACGUCGAGCUUCGUGUUUUUUCCACAGCCACAGCAACACGGUCCCUCGUCGAGCUUCGUGUUAUCUCCACAGCCACAGCAGCACGGUCCCUCGUCCAGUUUCGUGUUUGAGCCAGAGCAGCCGUCACAGCCAGCAGGAGCCUACGGAUAUCAGGCAUCUAUGUCGGCAUCACAUGAUACGUGGGGAGUGA
rnacentral:rRNA from 1 species